rnacentral:lncRNA from 1 species
CCUGCAACCCCAAGCUCCUACAGCCCCUGGAGGGGGCCUCGGCGGCCAGAACCCGAGCACCACCCUCCUCGUGGCUGCUCCGUGCUAGGGGUCGGGGCGCCCGCACCCCUGACUUGACUGCGAGGCAGGAUGGCGCCGGAUCGAGCUCGUCCCCCUUCCCGGGCCCCGAAGCAGAGCGACACUCACCCAUCACUCUCGGCGCUGGCUGAGAAAGGGAAAACGCAAAGCCUCACGGUCCGGUUUGUAAAACGCAGUCCCGCCCCUUUAACGUGGUUUCUGCGCGCCGCUGUGAGGAUCCCGGAGUCUGAGUGCGACGUCACUGACGUUUCUGCGACAGUACCGCGGACCUCCCGCUGCGAGAGGGGCCUCUGCGCUCCUAACUCGUGGACAGCGCUGGACCCGCGUUUGCUGCCGCUCGCUAGAGGUUGAGGACUUUAGGGUACAUCCGAGGUGGAGUCACCUGGCUUUACGCUUUGAAAAGACUCGUUUUAGAAGCUGGGCGCAGCUGCGAUGGGAAAAGGUGGAAGGCAGCAGGGAGGGAAACGAGUGGUGGACUUAGGUUUGAUUCUGAAGGGUUUGGUGAUACAUUGGACUUGGGGGGAGGGGGUUAGGGAAAGGGGUGUGUGUCGAGGAUUACUAAUUCCUCACUUGAUGAGUUGGAUGAAAAUCGGUGCCUUUUACUGAGAUGGGGUAAACUAAGGUAGGAGCGGUUCUGGUCAUGUUCAUUUUGAGAUCUUGGUGACCUCUAAGUGGGAAUGACGGGCAGCUGGAUGUUCAUGUCUUGGUCAUCCAUAUGGAAGAAAUUUGGACAGAAGAUGUUACUUUGGGAAUCAUUACUAUGCAAAUGUAAUUAAAGUUUCCAGAAUGAAUGGCAUCUAGGUAGAGAGCAUAAAGCACACUUUUCUUGUAAAAUGUACUAAAUAAAUACUUUAGGCUUGUGAGAUACAGAGUCUGUGUCACAACUACUCGACUUCGCUAGUGUGGUGUGAGAGUAAUCCUAGACAAUAGUAAACAAAUGUGUGUGGCAGUGUUCCAAAACUUACGAUACUGAGAUUCAUCUCUCAUGAACCAUUACGCUUUUGAUUUUUUACAAACAUUUAAAAACGUAACAACAACUCUUGGCGCACGGGCUCAAUCAGCAUACUGUGAUGUGCCAACCCUUAGCAUAAAGAAAUACAGGAAAAUGUUCUAGGUCCAAGGCUUGAGGAAUAUGAACAUUUAAGGCCAGGUAAAGAAAAACUGGCAGAGGAGACAAGGAGCAGUUAGACUGACAGGAAGAAAGCUAGCAUAGUAUAUCAUGGUCUAAUGCUACUGUAAAGGGUAGUGAAGGUCUAAAAAGGGAUUCUUGGAUUUAGUAACUUGAAAACCUUUUUUUUUUUUAAUUUUUAAUGUUUUAUUUUUGAGAGAGAGAAAGAGCAAGCGAGCAAGCAGGUGAAGGGCAGAGAGAAAGGGAGAAACAGAAUCCAAAGCAGGUUCCAGGCUCUGAGCUGUCAAUACAGAGCCCGAUGUGGGGCUUGAACUCACAAACCUUGAGAUCAUGACCUGAGCCGAAGUUGGACACUUAACUGACUGAGCCACCCAGGCAUCCCUCCCCACAGCAAUGAAAUUUUUAAAAAAUAAUAAGAGAGGAGACUGGCUGGUGGCUGGAGGGGAAACGGAUCAAAGGACAGUAUUUAAAGGAGUAAAUUGCCUAAAGGAGUCCUUUACACUCUGCUCCCAAUCCUAUCACAGCCCUUUGAAGGGAUUCUCUCAUUGUCUCUGCUCAAAAUCUCACCUCCAUGUACAAACACACGUGGGAGGACUUUUCUGAGCCUGCUGCUUUCUAAAGUAACAAUGCUUGGGGUGCCUGGCUGGUUCAGUCAGUAGAGCAUGUGACUCUUGAUCUCUGGGUUACGAGUUCAAGCCCCAUGUUGGGGGUAGAGCUUACUUUAAAAAAAACAACAAUCAAGGGGUGCCUCGGUGGCUCAGUCAGGUAAAGGUCCUACUUUUUUUUUUUUUUAAAUAUUUAUUUAUUUAUUUUGAGAGAGAGCAAGGCUGAAUGUGGGAGGGGCAGAGAGAGAGAGAGAAAGAAUCCCAAGCAGGCUCUGCACUGCCAGCACAGGGCCCAACUUGGGGCCUCUCAGGUCAUGAACCCUGAGAUCAUGACUGGAGCCAAAACCAAGAGUCUGAUGCUUAACUGGCUGAGCCACCCAUGUGCCCCAAGCACCCUACUUUUGAUUUCUGCUCAGGUCGUGAUCUCACAAUUUGUGAAGUUGCCCCAUAUUGGGCUAUGUGCUGAUGGCACUGGGCCUGCUUGGGAUUCUGUCUCUCGUUCUCUCUGCCCCUCCCCCGCUUGUGCGUGCUCUCUCUCUCUCAAAAUAAAUAAACUUAAAAAGUAAAUAAAAUAAAUGGGAAAAAAACAUGGUCACUUCAAAACACACAAAAAAAGCAUUUGACAAAAUCUAAUGCCUUUCAUGAUAAAAAUACUUAAACUAGAAACAGAAUUGAACUUCCACGUGAGAAAGACCAUCUAUAAAAACCCAUAGGUAGAAUCAAACUUAAUGAUCAGGAACAAGACAAGGACAUUAACUCUCACCACCUUUUUUUUUUUUUUUUUAAAUUUCUGGGAGGAGGGCGCAAGUGAGCGAGGAGCAGAGAGAGAGGGAGGGAGAAUUCCAGGAGGGGCAGGGAGAGAAAUUAUUAUUACACUAUAUGUUACCUAACUUAGAUUUAAAUUAAAAUAAAAAAUAAAAAAAGGCGGCACUUGGGUGGCUCAGUUGGUUAAGCAUCCGACUUCAGCUCAGGUCAUGAUCUCAUGGUUCAUGGGUUCGAGCCCCGCAUGGGCUCUCUGCUGACAGCUCAGAGCCUGGAGCCUGCUUCAGAUUCUGUGUCUCCCUCUCUCUCUGCCCCUCCCCUGUUCACACUGUCUCUCAAGAAUAAAUAAAUGUAAAAAAAAUUUUUUUUAAUGUGUUAAAAGUGACAGUGCAAAAAUGAAGAGAGAAAGUUAUAGAGGACUUGAUGAAUCUUAUUUCAUGAUUUAAUUUUUCCAAGUAAUCUGUACACCAUACAUGGGACUUGAACUCAGGACCCUGCGAUCAAGAGUCACAUACUCUACCAACUGAGCCAGUCAGGCACCCCAACAUGGAUCUUAAAUGCUAAGACCUCAUAUUGUAUGAUUCCAUUUAUAUGAAAUGUCCAGAAUAGCAAGUCCAUAGAGAAAGUAGAUUAGUGGUUGCCAGGGGCUGGGGGAAGAGGAGAUUGGGGGAUGACUGCUAAUGCGUAUUGGGUUUCUUUUUGGGUGAAAAUGUUCUUGAAUUGGGGCACCUGGGUGGUUCAGUUGGUUAAGCGUCCAACUUUGGCUCAGGUCAUGAUCUCACGUUUCUGAGUUUGAGCCCUGCAUCGGGCUCUUUGCUGUCAGCGUGGAGCCUGCUUCAGAUCCUGUCUCCCUCGCUGUCUGUCCCUCCCCCACUUGUGCACAUGCUGCGUGCUCUCUCAAAAAGAAACAUUAAAAAAAAAAAAAGAAAUAAUGUUCUGGAAUCAGUGGUGAUGGUUGCCUGAUUAAAUCAAUAUACCAAAACCACUGAAUUCAUAGUAUGUGAAUUUUAAAAGGGUGACUUUUAUAGUAUGUGGAUUGUAUCUCAAUAAAGCUGUUAUUUAAAAAAAAAAAGCCCUGAUAUUCAAGAAAUAAAGGUCAGUGUAGUUGGAGCGGUAGGAGAUGCAGUGUAUUCAUUCAUUUAAAAAUAUGAAUUGUGUGCUUACCAUAUGUUCCAGAUGUUAUGGAUACAGUAUUAAAUAAAACAAAAAUCUUUGUCCUUAUGCGCUUAGCUAGCUAGCACUUAUUUUUUUAUUUUUUAAUUUACAUCCAAGUUAGCAUAUAGUACAAAAAUGAUUUCAGGAGUAGAUUCCAGUGAUUCAUCCCCUACAUUUAACACCCAGUGCUCAGCCCAGCAGGUGUCUUCCUUAAUGCCUCUUACCCUUUUAGCCCAUCCCCCCUCCCACAGCCCCUCCAGCAACCCUAUGUUUGUUCUCUAUAUUUAAGAGUCUCUUAUGUUUUGACCCCUCCCUGUUUUUAUAUUAUUUUUGCCUCCCUUCCCUUAUGUUCAUCUGUUCCGUGUCUUAAAGUCCUCAUAUGAGUGAAGUGAUAUGAUAUUUGUCUUUCUCUAAUUUCGCUUAGCAUAAUACCCUCUAGUUCCUUCCACAUAGUUGCAAAUGGCAAGAUUUCAUUCUUUUUGAUUGCCGAGUAAUACUCCAUUGCGUAUAUAUAUACCACGUCUUCUUUAUCCAUUCAUCCGUCAGUGGGCAUUUGGGCUCUUUCCAUACUUUGGCUAUGGUCGAUAAGCUAGCUAGAACUUAUAUAGCACUUAUUAAAUGUUAGACAUUGUCCUUACUACCGUGUGUAUAUUAACACCUCUAUACCAGUAUUAUCCUCAUUUCACAAAUAGCACAAAGAGGUUAAACAACCCACUUAAGGUGGCCUCAGGAGCCAGGCUUUUAACCUCCUAAGUGUUCUGCCCAAACUGCAUUCCAACUGGACCAAUAGAGGAAGGAGCUGACCAGGCCACAGCAGGACAUUCAGAAUUUAUCUUUUGUGCGAAGGGACAUUAAAGGGUUCGAGGGCACAUGGAUGGCUCAGUCUGUUAAGCAUCUGAUUCGUGGUUUUGGCUCAGACCAUGAUCUCACGGUUUGUGAGAUCAGGCCCCAUAUCGGGCUCUGUGCUGCCAGUGUGGAGCUUGCUUGGGAUUCUUUGUCCCUCUCUCUGUACCUCUCAAAGUAAAUAAAUAUUUUAAAAAUUUUAAAAAGAAAAGAGUUUGAAGCAGGUGAUGACUUAUAAGGAUUCCCCUGGCUGGUCCCAUGAGGGACUCAUAUGCCAUUCCAAGUGAGAAGAUGGGUCAGGUCUGGUCAGGUCUUCAUUUAACCGACUGAGCCACCUAGGUGCCCCUUCUUCCUGAGGUCUUUCUAAAAUGUGCAUUCGGGGGCGCCUGGGUGGCGCAGUCGGUUAAGCGUCCGACUUCAGCCAGGUCACGAUCUCGCGGUCCGGGAGUUCGAGCCCCGCGUCGGGCUCUGGGCUGAUGGCUCAGAGCCUGGAGCAUGUUUCCGAUUCUGUGUCUCCCUCUCUCUCUGCCCCUCCCCCGUUCAUGCUCUGUCUCUCUCUGUCCCAAAAAAUAAACGUUGAAAAAAAAAAAAAAAAUUUAAAAAAAAAAUAAAAUGUGCAUUCGGUUGUGUGGCACUUAGGCUAAAAAUCUUUUAAUACCUUAUUACUAUUUAGAUAAUUAAUGUUAUUUUUUAUUUUUUUAAUGUUUAUUUAUUUUUUAGAGAGACAGAGACAGAAUGCGAGUGGGUUAGGGGCAGAGAGAGAGGGAGACACAGAAUCCGAAUCAGGCUCCAGGCUCUGAGCUGUCAGCACAGAACCCGAGGCGGGGCUUGAACCCAUGAGAUCAUGACCUGAGCUGAAGUCAGACGCUCAAUCGACUGAGCCACCCAGGCGCCCCUGAUAAUUCAUAUUCCAGGGCAAGGAAUCUGGAAUCUUCCAGUUCCCAACUGUCCAUGCUCUAUGACUGGUUCCUCAGUUCACCUGGCAAACUUCUAAUUUUUCAAGACCAAACUGGUAUUGCUCAUCAGAUCCUUUCCCACCUAGCAAGCCAAGUGCUUUCUUGUCAGUGUUGCCACAGAAUCCUGUAAUGUGUCUUGAGCAAAGACUGUAACUGACAAAGCACCAUCUUUCUGCUUAUGGCUCCUGUUCCCAGAAGACCUGGGACCUAGUAAGCACAGAACAAGGCAGAGAUUGGAAGCUUUACCACAUCAUUGAAACUGCUGGUAUGGAUUUGGCCUCCUAGGUAGAGUACAGAAUCAGCACUAUGGAAAGGUGCAGUAAUAUCUGUCCUUAGUCCGAGAAGGUUCAUACAGGUCUCAGCCCUUCCCACACACCAGUCAACAGGUUGACUUUUUCCUCUUUCUUUAUUGUUAGACACAAUGUAUAAACACGUAAAACAGGAAACAGCAGGGAUCCUCUUGGGCCUCAAAAAACAGCAAGGAAGAGAUCCCAGAAACUUUUUUAGAGUACAAGACAUGGUGCCUGAACCAAGGGCAUGGAAGGCAGGCCAGAGCCAGCAGAGAGCUGGACUAAAGGCUCCUUUCCUCUCCCCAGCACCAGGAUAACCCCAGGGAGCCCUUUACCAGCAGCCAGUCCUCAGAGGCAGAAGGACACCCAAGGAAACUCUUUACCAGAGAGUCUUCCCCUCCUGGAGAGAAAGGCAACACCCAGAGUAACUAAAAGCUCUAUCUUCCCACCCUUGCUCCCUGGAGAGCUGUAACCGAAGAAAAGGAGAGAAGUGUCCCUCGUCACUCUGACCCUCUCCCCAGCUGCCUCCAUACUUGGCGUUUACCAAAGCCUUUUCCAGCUCAGACCCUGACUAGACCCACCAGAUGCCCAAAGUUUGCUGGGGAGGUUGGGGAGGGGAAGAGGCUGGGUGUGACACCAAACAGAUCUUUUAUUCGCAGUCGUCAGUGGGGCCGUUUCUUGUUGCUUAUUUGUUUGCUGGCCUGCUCUUCCAGCUGCAUGGCCAGGCGCAAGGCCUUGAUGACAUCUGGAGGGAAGGAGUGGUGGUGCACUGGGGGUUAGUGGGUGUCUCAGAAGCCCCGUUCCCUCAGGGCAGAGGCCCCAUCCUCCAGCCACACCCACCUCGCAGGGCUGAGAAGUGCUUGGCUUGCUGGACCAGGGCAGACUCUGUCUUGUUCACAAAGGUCUCCAGGUCAUAGUCUGGCUGCUCGGUCAUCUCGGAGAGCUCAAGCCAGCCUGGCCCUUGCUGCAAUGACAUGGGGGGGGGGGGGGGGGACCUUGUCAGUUCAAAAAUGACCAAAUAAACUUAGCAAAUUAUUCCUGGGCCCCUACCAUCUGCAAUGCAGACAACCUAGGCAAGAUGCCCACUCCUUAAGCCAUAGCUUGUGCUCUGCUUCUUGACCUGCUCCUGUAGAAAUCUUCAUCUUGAAUUCAUCCUCUUCCCUACCCCAAACUUGUCCCUCUCCCCAGGUCAGAUGAAUGUCACAAUCUGUCUUGAUGCCAAGCAGGAAAUGGGAAUAAUAACUUUUUCUUUCACCCUGCUGGUCCCUAAAUCCUACCAAUUCUGCUUCUUAAAUGGCACCUGAGUCUCAUGUCCUCACUCCAGUCUCAUGGUGACCAUGACCACACUCUGUCUAGGCUCCAACAUCUCUCUUGAACUUUUUUUUUUUUAAUGUUUAUUUUUGAGACAGAGAGAGACAGAACAUGAGUGGGGGAGGAGCAGAGAGAGAGGUGGACACAGAAUCUGAGGCAAGUUCCAGGCUCUGAGCUGUCAGCACAGAGUGCAAUGUGGGGCUCAAAGCCACAAAGUGUGAGAUCAUAACCUGAGCCAAAGUCAGGCACUUAACCGACUGAGCCACCCAGGUGUCCAGAACUUUUUUUCUUUUUUUAAUGUUUAUUUUUGAGAGAGAGAGAGAGAGAGAGAGAGAGAGAGAGAGAGAGAAGAGUGACAGAGAAAACAUGGGGGAGGGGCAAAGAGAGGGAGACACAGGAUAUGAAGUGGGCUCUGUGCUGACAGCAGCAAACCUGACGCAGGGCUCAAACUCACGAAUCAUGAGAUCACGACCUGAGCCCAAGUCAGACACUUAACUGACUGAACCAUCCAGGUACCCCUCUUGAACUCUUUAUUACAAUCUCCUAAUUUCUCGUAACUCCUAAGUGCCUCUACUCAUGCUCUCCCUCAUUCCCAAACCAGACUCCACAUUGCAGCCACAGUGAUGUACCUAAAGCUGUGAUAAGACCACGUCAUCUGAUCUGACCAUACUCUACUCCCUUCAAAGGUAUCCACUGCCCUCAUAACCAAGUCCAGGCCUUUGGAGUGAGCCAUAGGUCUUUUAGCAUCAGGUUACCUGUUGACCUAGACACAUAUUUAAUCAAUGUCCCUUGCUUACAUCUUUUGCUUUGAGUAGAGUGAACCUCUCAUUCUUUCUGAAAAUACCAUGUCCUUUCACACAUUUGUACCCUGAGCACUCCAGGGAGGGAGGACAUGCCUAAGCGCUUACUCUUCAUGUUCCCUUCUCAUUUCUGAGUGGCCCAAGGUCCUUCUUUCUGCACUGCACCCUGCCCUGAAUACCCCACUGGCAGAGUGCACUCUUGGGCCUCCCCUCCCCUCUCCCUGUUCUCCCACAGCGGGAGUCACAGCAGCACCAGCAUCUACCACUUACUAUACACUAACCAUGUGCUGGGCACUGUUUUAAAAGCAUAUCUCUUAAUCUUCAGAUGCAAUCAUCCUAUCUUGCCCACUUCAGAGAUGAAGAAACUGAGGCCCAGUGAUGCUAAAUGACUUUCCUAAAGAAAUCAGCAUAUAAAUAGAAGAGUCAGGGGAAAAAAAAACAACUCAGAAGAGUCAGGAUUGAGCAAGUCUUACUUUAGGGCAUGCUAUCCAUACUUGAUGUUUUUGGUCCUUGGUUUUAGCACAGGAGUUGGCAUAUAGAAAGUACUCACCAAACAUUCACUGAGUAAACAAGCCAAGAUCUCUGCAAAGAAGUCACUCUCCAAAACCUCGAUCAGGAACACAGAGGGGAGAGACUAGCUCUGGCUAGGAGGAUGGAGGAAAGCCUGUGUAGGCCAGGCUGGAGAAAAGGGUAUGGUAAUUCAUUGUUCUAGAACAGCUAGAUGAAUAGGUGGACAAUUGAGGAAUACUAGGUAAAGGUCUGCCUCUUGCCAUCCCUACCUGAAGACCUGUGGGAGCAAAGCCCAGGUCAUGCUCAAGGAAUGGUUCUGAGCACUGCUGAGGGCCUGUGCUGGGGUGGAUAUCCAGUCCAUCCCUAACCAGGACCAGCUCAUCACCUGUAUUAUCUCCUUGAGCUCUUCCAUGGCCCUCUCCUCCAACUCCCUGAUCUGAGACAUGGCUUCAUUAAAGCUGGACAUCUGCGAAGACAGAUCCUCCUCUUCUUUGGAGAACUGAGGGGCCAAAAGGAGAGGUACAACAGUAUGGCCUAGUUUCCCUCGAUAGGCCACGUUUCCAUCCUGCCUGGCCCCACCCUACACCUUACAUUGCUUGUGAUCAGGGACCCAUGGGAGCUGGCUUCCAUCUCUUCUGUUUCCAUUUGAGUUGGUUGCUCACCACUGGAUCCACUGUGGGGGCUCAGCUCCUUGACCCUGAGGAACAAGAAGGUCUCAGAUCCCACAGGAACCUCUUUGGCACUCACAGGACUGCAGCAUCACUCAGACCAUGAGGCUCGGCAGCUUUUACAUUGGCCAAGCUGCCAUGCUGGCUUCACAUUAAGGCUUGAAGGGGACUGGGACAUGUCUGAACUCAGAUUCACUGAGUCACAGAAGAAUAUACAGUAGGCACUGAGGCUCCAGACUUCCUCCCUCUUCCUUUCCCCCCUCCUGCACCCGUCUCCCCAUCCCACUGGUCAUGGGUACUAGUACCUGUCUGCAUAUCUCAGUGUGUUUAAAGUAUAUUCGCAGGAGCUUAUGCCUGGUGAGAUCAUGGCAAUCUGCAAAACGGGGAAAUAGGCAGUUAAGGGUUGAGGAUCACAGGGUAGGGUAAAGGCGCUGGACUGCCUAGUACUGGAUACUGCCAGGAGUCGUCUCUUUGAGCUGCUGACACCCACACAGUAUUGGGGCGGAGAGCUAACUAAGUGCCUAGUCUGUGCCAGGCAAUUUGCCCCAGGCACUGAAAACUAAGGCACCUUAAAAAUUGGUUCCCUGCCUUUAAAGGUGCAUCUGGAUACCCCUGUUGUUUUAUCUCUUUAUGGACUCUUUCACCAAGGUCACAUCUCAAGGCUCUGUGGCUUAGUCAGAAAUUCCUACCUUCCCUAGUAGACAGGGAAGAGGAAGGAAGGAGGAAGGACUCUCCAGUAGGAAGAGGAGAUUCCUUAGAGGGGAAGAAGGCAGAUCCUAGCUAGCAGGCUUGUAGAUAAAAUAAGGAAAGGAACAAAAAGUCAUUUGAGGCCAUACCCCUUUCCUGUGUACUUAAUUAGGAGCCAGUGAACCUGAGGGAAACCAUAGAAGGGGAGAAUUUUGCUUUCCUGCUUUCCCACAGGCCAUCCUUCUGAAUUCUGGGGCCCCUUUUCAUCAGGUAAGGCCCUUUUGGACCCCAAACCAAGAGCUGCACAGACAUAUAGUAAAGGGAGCAGAUCCUCUCCUUCCCUCUUGAAUAGGCAAAGAGGAACCUGGUACUAAAAAGCAGUGGGGGGUGCCCAGUAAAGUUUGAGCCUGGAAACCCAGGUAGCCAAGGGCACCAAGCCUUCUGCCCAGAGACAGGACUCAACGUCUUCCUAUACCACCUCCAAAGUGACCCUACUCACCAUGCAGGUCCUUGAGUUCUCCCCGAUAAAGGAGUCCCUCAGCACCUGUGUCAGCUUGCUCUCUCGAAAUGGGGUGUGAGCCUUGUUCUGUCCCAGGGCCCUGAUGCACUCCUGUGGGGCAGCAGGAGCCACUGAGGUCCCUUUCUUCCUCUUGAGUUGCCCAUUCCCUCCCUCUCUCCCUCCCUCCACCAGCAGUCCUCCAGGCCAACCACCUGUUUAGGCCCUGCUACCUUCAGAGCCAGGAGACUCUUGUUGAUUUCUGCACCCUCCAUGCGAGUCUGCCGGUCAGCACUGGAAGUGUCCGCACCUCUCUCAUUCCCUGCCAGAUCCACCAAAGAGAACUUGCCAUGCACUCUCCCUUUGGCCCGAAGAAGAAUCUGGAAGCAGGCAUGGGAGCGGGAAGAGUUGGAGUUGGCAAAUGUCUGCCCAGAAGUCCUGUGGCAAAGGAGGGCAAAGAAAGGUUAUGAGCCACUGUGGCUCCCCAGAGUUCAAGCCACCCCACUCCACAGCACUGAGUUCUCUGUACAAAGGACACAGGUCAAGACUCUAAGCAGUCCUGUGUUUUCUUAUCCCAGAUUUCUGUUUUGCCCUUCCUGGGCAGCAGCUUUCCCUCUACCUCCAGAUCUGGCAAGUUUUCCUGCAGUGAAAGUACUAGAUUCUGUGCUAGGCCUUAGCCAGCCCAGAGGGCCCAAAAGCACAUGGGGAAGGGGAGUUGCCUGUGUUGCAGGGCACAUGAGGAGGAGGGGUUGUCAUGAACCACUUGUGAAAGCUUGAGAGGCUUGGAGAGGGCAACCCCCUCCCUGGGCCUCCAUAAGCCACCCAGCAUUCCACUGCACCAUGCCUGGUGGAAGAGCACUUCCCUACCUCUGUAUAGAAGCUAUGACCCCAUCCCUUCCAGCCCAGACUAGAUCCAGAGCUUGUCUCCUACCACAGAGGGAGGGGACAGCAAGAAGAAACCUAGAGAAGUCAGGAAGGAUGAUUUGGGGUAAGGACCUGGAAAUAAAGUCUACCUUGGUUAGAUUUAAGACACUUGCUCCUGAUGAGCCUCUUGCCCUGGGUCAUCUGCCCUAUUGAGAGUCCUUACGGCAGAGGCCCUCACAGCCCUCACCAAGCUGCAGAGAGUGGCGCUCUGUGGAAACAGCAAUGGGCUCAGAGCGGGGGUCUAUCACCUGAACCGGGCAUUAGGUGGCCCCUUCCCCUCACCAGAACUCUGACCUGCAGGCACUGCCUAUGUCGAUCAUCUUGAUGACAUCGUCAGCACAGCUAACCAGAUGCUCCUGUAGCCCCACCACCUGCACCUGCUGCUUGCCGUCCUCCAGCACGCGCAGCUUAGCUUUCUUGUUGAGCAGAUCAAACAGCUGUGCCAAGCAGGGGAACAAGGAUAAGGCCAUUAGGUCCUGGACACCCUACCUACACCCCCUCCUUCAGGGCCUGUCCCA